rnacentral:rRNA from 1 species
GGUUAAGCGACUAAGCGUACACGGUGGAUGCCCUGGCAGUCAGAGGCGAUGAAGGACGUGCUAAUCUGCGAUAAGCGUCGGUAAGGUGAUAUGAACCGUUAUAACCGGCGAUUUCCGAAUGGGGAAACCCAGUGUGUUUCGACACACUAUCAUUAACUGAAUCCAUAGGUUAAUGAGGCGAACCGGGGGAACUGAAACAUCUAAGUACCCCGAGGAAAAGAAAUCAACCGAGAUUCCCCCAGUAGCGGCGAGCGAACGGGGAGCAGCCCAGAGCCUGAAUCAGUGUGUGUGUUAGUGGAAGCGUCUGGAAAGGCGCGCGAUACAGGGUGACAGCCCCGUACACAAAAAUGCACAUGCUGUGAGCUCGAUGAGUAGGGCGGGACACGUGGUAUCCUGUCUGAAUAUGGGGGGACCAUCCUCCAAGGCUAAAUACUCCUGACUGACCGAUAGUGAACCAGUACCGUGAGGGAAAGGCGAAAAGAACCCCGGCGAGGGGAGUGAAAAAGAACCUGAAACCGUGUACGUACAAGCAGUGGGAGCACGCUUAGGCGUGUGACUGCGUACCUUUUGUAUAAUGGGUCAGCGACUUAUAUUCUGUAGCAAGGUUAACCGAAUAGGGGAGCCGAAGGGAAACCGAGUCUUAACUGGGCGUUAAGUUGCAGGGUAUAGACCCGAAACCCGGUGAUCUAGCCAUGGGCAGGUUGAAGGUUGGGUAACACUAACUGGAGGACCGAACCGACUAAUGUUGAAAAAUUAGCGGAUGACUUGUGGCUGGGGGUGAAAGGCCAAUCAAACCGGGAGAUAGCUGGUUCUCCCCGAAAGCUAUUUAGGUAGCGCCUCGUGAAUUCAUCUCCGGGGGUAGAGCACUGUUUCGGCAAGGGGGUCAUCCCGACUUACCAACCCGAUGCAAACUGCGAAUACCGGAGAAUGUUAUCACGGGAGACACACGGCGGGUGCUAACGUCCGUCGUGAAGAGGGAAACAACCCAGACCGCCAGCUAAGGUCCCAAAGUCAUGGUUAAGUGGGAAACGAUGUGGGAAGGCCCAGACAGCCAGGAUGUUGGCUUAGAAGCAGCCAUCAUUUAAAGAAAGCGUAAUAGCUCACUGGUCGAGUCGGCCUGCGCGGAAGAUGUAACGGGGCUAAACCAUGCACCGAAGCUGCGGCAGCGACACUAUGUGUUGUUGGGUAGGGGAGCGUUCUGUAAGCCUGUGAAGGUGUACUGUGAGGUAUGCUGGAGGUAUCAGAAGUGCGAAUGCUGACAUAAGUAACGAUAAAGCGGGUGAAAAGCCCGCUCGCCGGAAGACCAAGGGUUCCUGUCCAACGUUAAUCGGGGCAGGGUGAGUCGACCCCUAAGGCGAGGCCGAAAGGCGUAGUCGAUGGGAAACAGGUUAAUAUUCCUGUACUUGGUGUUACUGCGAAGGGGGGACGGAGAAGGCUAUGUUGGCCGGGCGACGGUUGUCCCGGUUUAAGCGUGUAGGCUGGUUUUCCAGGCAAAUCCGGAAAAUCAAGGCUGAGGCGUGAUGACGAGGCACUACGGUGCUGAAGCAACAAAUGCCCUGCUUCCAGGAAAAGCCUCUAAGCAUCAGGUAACAUCAAAUCGUACCCCAAACCGACACAGGUGGUCAGGUAGAGAAUACCAAGGCGCUUGAGAGAACUCGGGUGAAGGAACUAGGCAAAAUGGUGCCGUAACUUCGGGAGAAGGCACGCUGAUAUGUAGGUGAAGUCCCUCGCGGAUGGAGCUGAAAUCAGUCGAAGAUACCAGCUGGCUGCAACUGUUUAUUAAAAACACAGCACUGUGCAAACACGAAAGUGGACGUAUACGGUGUGACGCCUGCCCGGUGCCGGAAGGUUAAUUGAUGGGGUCAGCGCAAGCGAAGCUCUUGAUCGAAGCCCCGGUAAACGGCGGCCGUAACUAUAACGGUCCUAAGGUAGCGAAAUUCCUUGUCGGGUAAGUUCCGACCUGCACGAAUGGCGUAAUGAUGGCCAGGCUGUCUCCACCCGAGACUCAGUGAAAUUGAACUCGCUGUGAAGAUGCAGUGUACCCGCGGCAAGACGGAAAGACCCCGUGAACCUUUACUAUAGCUUGACACUGAACAUUGAGCCUUGAUGUGUAGGAUAGGUGGGAGGCUUUGAAGUGUGGACGCCAGUCUGCAUGGAGCCGGCCUUGAAAUACCACCCUUUAAUGUUUGAUGUUCUAACGUGGACCCGUAAUCCGGGUUGCGGACAGUGUCUGGUGGGUAGUUUGACUGGGGCGGUCUCCUCCUAAAGAGUAACGGAGGAGCACGAAGGUUGGCUAAUCCUGGUCGGACAUCAGGAGGUUAGUGCAAUGGCAUAAGCCAGCUUGACUGCGAGCGUGACGGCGCGAGCAGGUGCGAAAGCAGGUCAUAGUGAUCCGGUGGUUCUGAAUGGAAGGGCCAUCGCUCAACGGAUAAAAGGUACUCCGGGGAUAACAGGCUGAUACCGCCCAAGAGUUCAUAUCGACGGCGGUGUUUGGCACCUCGAUGUCGGCUCAUCACAUCCUGGGGCUGAAGUAGGUCCCAAGGGUAUGGCUGUUCGCCAUUUAAAGUGGUACGCGAGCUGGGUUUAGAACGUCGUGAGACAGUUCGGUCCCUAUCUGCCGUGGGCGCUGGAGAACUGAGGGGGGCUGCUCCUAGUACGAGAGGACCGGAGUGGACGCAUCACUGGUGUUCGGGUUGUCAUGCCAAUGGCACUGCCCGGUAGCUAAAUGCGGAAGAGAUAAGUGCUGAAAGCAUCUAAGCACGAAACUUGCCCCGAGAUGAGUUCUCCCUGACUCCUUGAGAGUCCUGAAGGAACGUUGAAGACGACGACGUUGAUAGGCCGGGUGUGUAAGCGCAGCGAUGCGUUGAGCUAACCGGUACUAAUGAACCGUGAGGCUUAACCUU